rnacentral:piRNA from 1 species
UGUGUAUGCAAAUGUAUAUUUAUGUGGGU